GACGUAGGGCGCGAGCGUUGUCCGGAUUUAUUGGGCGUAAAGAGCUCGUAGGCGGCUUGUUGCGUCGACCGUGAAAACCCGUGGCUUAACUGCGGGCUUGCGGUCGAUACGGGCGGGCUGGAGUUCGGUAGGGGAGACUGGAAUUCCUGGUGUAGCGGUGAAAUGCGCAGAUAUCAGGAAGAACACCCGUGGCGAAGGCGGCUCUCUGGGACGGUACUGACGCUGAGACGCGAAAGCGUGGGGAGCAAACAGG
rnacentral:rRNA from 1 species